rnacentral:tmRNA from 1 species
GGGGCUGAUUCUGGAUUCGACGGGAUUUGCGAAACCCAAGGUGCAUGCCGAGGGGCGGUUGGCCUCGUAAAAAGCCGCAAAAAAUAGUCGCAAACGACGAAAACUACGCUUUAGCAGCUUAAUAACCUGCUUAGAGCCCUCUCUCCCUAGCCUCCGCUCUUAGGACGGGGAUCAAGAGAGGUCAAACCCAAAAGAGAUCGCGUGGAAGCCCUGCCUGGGGUUGAAGCGUUAAAACUUAAUCAGGCUAGUUUGUUAGUGGCGUGUCCGUCCGCAGCUGGCAAGCGAAUGUAAAGACUGACUAAGCAUGUAGUACCGAGGAUGUAGGAAUUUCGGACGCGGGUUCAACUCCCGCCAGCUCCACCG